GUGAGGAAUAUUGGGCAAUGGGCGCAAGCCUGACCCAGCAACGCCGCGUGGAGGAAUGAAGGCCUUCGGGUUGUAAACUCCUUUUACGGGGGAAGAGGAAGGACGGUACCCCGAGAAUAAGUCACGGCUAACUACGUGCCAGCAGCCGCGGUAAUACGUAGGUGACGAGCGUUAUCCGGAAUUACUGGGCGUAAAGCGCACGCAGGCGGCUUGCUAAGUCUGACGUGAAAUCUCUCGGCUUAACCGGGAGGGGUCGUUGGAGACUGGCGGGCUUGAGGCGAUGAGAGGGGUGUAGAAUUCCCGGUGUAGUGGUGGAAUGCGUAGAUAUCGGGAGGAAUACCAGUGGCGAAAGCGACACCCUGGCAUUAGCCUGACGCUCAGGUGCGAAAGCGUGGGGAGCGAACGGGAUUAGAAACCCGAGUAGUCC
rnacentral:rRNA from 1 species